GACGAACGCUGGCGGCGUGCUUAACACAUGCAAGUCGAACGGAAAGGCCCUGCUUUUGUGGGGUGCUCGAGUGGCGAACGGGUGAGUAACACGUGAGUAACCUGCCCUUGACUUUGGGAUAACUUCAGGAAACUGGGGCUAAUACCGGAUAGGAGCUCCUGCUGCAUGGUGGGGGUCGGAAAGUUUCGGCGGUUGGGGAUGGACUCGCGGCUUAUCAGCUUGUUGGUGGGGUAGUGGCUUACCAAGGCUUUGACGGGUAGCCGGCCUGAGAGGGUGACCGGCCACAUUGGGACUGAGAUACGGCCCAGACUCCUACGGGAGGCAGCAGUGGGGAAUAUUGCACAAUGGGCGGAAGCCUGAUGCAGCAACGCCGCGUGCGGGAUGACGGCCUUCGGGUUGUAAACCGCUUUCGCCUGUGACGAAGCGUGAGUGACGGUAAUGGGUAAAGAAGCACCGGCUAACUACGUGCCAGCAGCCGCGGUGAUACGUAGGGUGCGAGCGUUGUCCGGAUUUAUUGGGCGUAAAGGGCUCGUAGGUGGUUGAUCGCGUCGGAAGUGUAAUCUUGGGGCUUAACCCUGAGCGUGCUUUCGAUACGGGUUGACUUGAGGAAGGUAGGGGAGAAUGGAAUUCCUGGUGGAGCGGUGGAAUGCGCAGAUAUCAGGAGGAACACCAGUGGCGAAGGCGGUUCUCUGGGCCUUUCCUGACGCUGAGGAGCGAAAGCGUGGGGAGCGAACAGGCUUAGAUACCCUGGUAGUCCACGCUGUAAACGGUGGGUACUAGGUGUGGGGUCCAUUCCACGGGUUCCGUGCCGUAGCUAACGCUUUAAGUACCCCGCCUGGGGAGUACGGCCGCAAGGCUAAAACUCAAAGGAAUUGACGGGGCCCCGCACAAGCGGCGGAGCAUGCGGAUUAAUUCGAUGCAACGCGUAGAACCUUACCUGGGUUUGACAUGGAUCGGGAGUGCUCAGAGAUGGGUGUGCCUCUUUUGGGGUCGGUUCACAGGUGGUGUAUGCCUGUCGUCAGCUCGUGUCGUGAGAUGUUGGGUUAAGUCCCGCAACGAGCGCAACCCUUGUUCACUGUUGCCAGCACGUUAUGGUGGGGACUCAGUGGAGACCGCCGGGGUCAACUCGGAGGAAGGUGGGGAUGACGUCAAGUCCUCAUGCCCCUUAUGUCCAGGGCUUCACGCAUGCUACAAUGGCUGGUACAGAGAGUGGCGAGCCUGUGAGGGUGAGCGAAUCUCGGAAAGCCGGUCUCAGUUCGGAUUGGGGUCUGCAACUCGACCUCAUGAAGUCGGAGUCGCUAGUAAUCGCAGAUCAGCAACGCUGCGGUGAAUACGUUCCCGGGGCU
rnacentral:rRNA from 1 species